rnacentral:lncRNA from 1 species
AUGGAAACUCUGUCUUGUUCUCCUCCUCCUCUAGAUCUAACCCUGUCUCCUCCUCCUCAUCUUUUCCUGUCUGCUCCUCCACCUGCACCUCUUUAUCUAACCCUAUCUCCUCCUCCUCCUCUAGAUCUAACCCUAUCUCCUCCUCCUCCUCCUCUAGAUCUAACCCUUUCUCCUCCUCCUCCUCCUCCUCCACUUUAUCUAUCCCUGUCUCCUCUUCCUCCUCUAGAUCUAACCCCGUCUCCUCCUCCUCCUUCUCUUGAUCUAACCCUAUCUCCUGCUCUAGAUCUAACCCUAUCUCCUCCUCUAGAUCUAACCCUGUCUCCUCCUCCUCUAGAUCAAACCCUAUCUCCUGCUCUAGAUCUAACCCUGUCUCCUCCUCCUCCUCUAGAUUUAACCCUAUCUCCUCUAGAUCUAACCCUGUCUCCUCCUCCUCCUCUAGAUUUAACCCUAUCUCCUGCUCUAGAUCUAACCCUGUCUCCUCCUCCUCCUCUAGAUUUAACCCUAUCUCCUCUAGAUCUAACCCUGUCUCCUCCUCCUCCUCUAGAUUUAACCCUAUCUCCUGCUCUAGAUCUAACCCUGUCUCCUCCUCUAGAUCUAACCCUGUCUCCUUCUCCACCUCCGCUAGAUUUAACCCUAUAUCCUGCUCUAGAUCUAACCCUGUCUCCUCCUCUUGAUCUAACCCUAUCUCCUGCUCUAGAUCUAACCCUAUCUCCUUCUCUAGAUCUAACCCUAUCUUCUGCUCUAGAUCUAACCCUGUCUCCUCCUCCUCCUCCUCUAGAUCAAACCCUAUCUCCUGCUCUAGAUCUAACCCUGUCUCCUCCUUCUCCUGCUCUAGAUCUAACCCUGUCUCCUCCUUCUCCUGCUCUAGAUCUAACCCUGUCUCCUGCUCUAGAUCUAACCCUGUCUCCUCCUCUAGAUCUAACCCUGUCUCCUCCUCCUCCUCCUCUAGAUUUAACCCUAUCUCCUGCUCUAGAUCUAACCCUGUCUCCCCCUGCUCCUCCUCUAGAUCUAACCCUAUCUCCUGCUCUAGAUCUAACCCUGUCUCCCCCUGCUCCUCCUCUUUAUCUAACCCUGUCCGCUCCUCCUCUAGAUCUAACCCUAUCUCCUGCUCUAGAUCUAACCCUGUCUCAUCCUCCUCCUCCUCUAGAUUUAACCCUAUCUCCUGCUCUAGAUCUAACCCUGCUCCCCCCCCCUCUUCUUUAUCUAACCCUGUCCCCUCCUCCUCUAGAUCUAACUUUGUGA